rnacentral:lncRNA from 1 species
CGGAGUUCCAGAAUCCGACGAUCGGACGGGCCACUUGGGCUAGUCAUCCUGUCUUCCCCAGAAAGGAGAAGCAGAAGGCGGAGAGCCCUCCAUCUGAUCACGAUUCCAUCCCCGGAGGGUCCCUACCUCCAUUCUAUCAGAAGACCCUCAGACUCACAGUCGAGAGGACCUCCUGGAUCAAAGAUUUCAAGAGAUGAAC